CACGAGCACAACCACAGACACGCGCACAGACACGCGCGCACACACACACACACACACACACACACACACACACACACACACACACACACACACACACACACACACACACACACACACACACACACACACACACACGCAAACAAGCUACAAAUCCAGCUAGCGGGGGCGCGGUCUUCUUGCAGUUGUAGACAGUGGUACACGCGCGUUAUCGUCAGCAGCGACUCUCCCAGAGCCCUGGUGGGCAUCGGUCACUGCUGGAAAUAUGAUGAGACUGGAAGAAGGACGGUUCAUUACACAUUAUCUAUUGUGUAACCUGAGAGAUGAGAAUCCCCGUCGCCUUUCCUGUCUUCUGUAAAGGCUCUCUGUGAUGGGGGUCCCUCAAUGUAGCAGCGGUUAGGUGGUGGGGGGACACUAUAGACAUGCCAUUUCCCCAGAGCAUAUUGCUGUGUCUGGGCGUGGUGCUGAUGACCGCCGGGGUGGUCAUGGCACUCUGCACGGGCGCCGUUCCCCAGGGUAUCCCGCUAUUUCAACUCGGACUGAUUCUGGGGCUCGGGGGUGCGGGGCUGGUGGUCACUGGUCUCUGCGCUGCCAUGAAGAACCUGCAGGUGGCGGUGCCAGGACACUUCCUCCUGCACCCCCGCACGGGCACCCGCUUCAGCCCCCAUCAGGCGCUUGCAAUACAAAGGAGGCUGGACCGCAUCCGCAGGGAGAUGUCAACGGACUCCGUGGCCGGGCAGGCUGAGCCAGCCGAGCCCUCCCUGCCCUCCACCCCGCCCCCCUGGGAUCUGGAGCCCCCGCCCUCCUAUGACACGGUGAUGAAGUGCCAGGAGCAUGCCUCACAGGAGAUAUGACCUGUGACACUCCCCUAUCCCUCCCUCACCCCCUUCCCUCCCUUUCUCCCAGAGGAAGAAGAAAACCACAGGGACAGGAAUCCAUGAGUCAUGAACCCAGCCUGAGACGACGAACCGUCGUCAGCUGCAUUUCACCAGCAAAAAUUUUCACUCUUUGUGCCUUCCUGGGAACCACCAUCUUGAACACCAAACAAAGACAGAGGCGGGGCCUGCAAGCCAAGGGGACAAUCUGGGCUGAACAAAAAAUAGGGCUGUGAGGACACGAGACCUAGAUGGAUGAAACGUGGGAGGGGAAUUUAAUGUUUACCAUUUCCUGUGUUGCUCUAACCUCGCCCCAUCCCACUCGGGAGACCAGCCUUAUGUAACUUUUUAACCGUUGUUGACCCUAAAUGACAGUGCAGUUGGCUGUGAGCCCAGUAAACAGGUACUUUAUAGGCCCCACUGGAGGCUGUGCUAUGAACACCCCCCCCCCUUACACCCUACCCCCCCCCCCCCACACACACACACACACUUGCCCUUCUUGAACAUCUGCCUUCCAUCCCAGCCGUAUGGAUUGGUCUAGCUGCGUGCACGAGCUUACAAAGCAUUUUAUUACUGGUUUACUGGUUUAACCCAAAGCAAAUUGCCUUUUUGGCAGCAGUGUUGUUGUGCCGAGGUUUGUACUCAGGCUUUUUAAUUUCUUUUGAAAAAAUGACGGCCAGGGCCGGCCUGUGUGGAGAUGUUUCUGUGAGCAUGAGUUAACGACCAGUCUUCCACGAUCUCUGUGGGUGGUGCGUGUGAAGGAGAAGUAAUGGCUUGUUUAUGUGAAAUAAAAUACUGGUGGAGACCUAUAAAGAAAAAUAAAUAUGGCAAAUGUUUACUGAAGUAAUUAUUUAAGUCUAAACAGACAAAUGACAGUGUUGAAUACAGAACACCUGGUCACUAUGGAAACAAUGGAAGCAAUGGAACAGGUUAAGUGUAGAAAGGGCUGGUGGUGUUAUGACAAAAUAGGCAAAAUGUUACCUAUUUUGACAAUAAGCUGGAGGCAAGGACCCCCUUAAAAAGCACAGAACAAGUUCUUAAUCACACACACGCAGACACACACACACACGCAAACACACAAAAACAUACACAACUUCACCUUGAAAAACCAGGACGAAGAAAGAUGAAGACAGUCUGCAGUUUGUGUUGGACACACGGGUUUCAAAGUCUCAGCGGUGGAUUGGAACCGUGGUGGAGCAGUCCAGCUACGGGCGGAUGGUGGCGGGGCUGUGUGUGGCGUCCCUGGGACCCUUCAGCAUGACCGAGGAGUGCUGUUCACACUGGGGGACCUCAUGGUGUGUAUGGGCACCUGUCCUGAGUGUGGGUCCGUG
ensembl:lncRNA